UAAACCUUUUCCAUCUCUCAAUCUUCAUCACCUUCCAUCCAUCUUCAUACCUUUAAGCCCAGAAAAAUAAAAGAAAUAAAAAAUCAAAUUCUUUUUUCAAUCUUCAUCUCUUCUUCUUCUUCUUCUUCUUCUUCUUCUUCUUCUUCUUCUUCUUCUUCUUCUUCUUCUUCUUCUUCUUCUUCUUCUUCUUCUUCUUCUUCUUCUUCUUCUUCUUCUUCCAAAACCCAUAAAUCUCAAAAUUACUUAAUUUUAAACUUACAAAUUCAUAAAUUAAUCAACACAACAACACAUAAUCUCAUCAUAGCCAAGAAGAAUUCGGACCUGGGUUCCAUCACCAACAUAAGCGAAUCUGAUUCGUGCAACACAACACCACAACAACACAAAAACAGGAAGGAGGAAUAAGAAUUCGGAUUCCAGAAUUCUGAAUUCUCCAAGCGGCGCAAAUAGCAACUUCAAGUGUUCCUUCUUCACCGGCAGCGAUAAACUCGCAACAACCGUCAACAGCGUGGCCACCGAAGCUAACGGCGUGAUUCUUCUGACAUUCUAGGUACCUCAUCGUCGAAACAAAACCGCCGUUGCCAUUACCUUUCCUUCCGUCAACUACGACGUGUUGUAGCUUGGGAAAUUGAGAGAGAGGAGAAUGAAGAUCUGAGUUUGCUUCUUCUUGUUGGCAUCAUCGACGUUCAAGAGAUCUAAUAGUAUGCUGCACAGAUGCGCCGGUGCGGCGAGGAUCUCGCAGGACCUCCGUCGGGGCUCGACGCGGUGGAGGAGGAAAAUAAGAUUUGUGUUAUUACACUUGUUGUCAUAAUAAGAUUUGAGUUUAAAUGAGUAUAGGUGUUCUGGGUUUAAAUGAGCAUAAAGAUGAAUAAAGAUGGAUGAAGAUGAAGAAAUAGAAGGAAGAAGAUGAAGAAAGAAAAGAAAAAUCAUGUGAUGAUCGUUCAUUAGUGGAUUUGAUGACAUCUUGUCAUUACGUAAUUUUUAUGUACUUUUUAUCACAUUUUGGAGUUCACAAAGCAACUUAUGCAGCAAGAAAAGCAGAAAUUCUGCAGAAAAUACAAAGAAGCAAAUCGUGUCACGAUUUCUAGAAAACGUGCCAUGAUUCGAGAAGACUUAAUCCAGUUUCGACAUUGAAGAAAUCGUGUCACGAUGGUCGAAUCGUGACACGAUUGGAGGAAACCCUAAUUCAGUAAUUUGCGAUUCAAAGAGGAUCGUGCCACGAUUUACUUAAAUCGUGACACGAUUUUAGGCAAAAUUCUGUGCCUAUUUAAGCUGAAGACUAUUCUGAAAACAGGGUGACGAUUUGGAGAGAGCAAAGUGCGAUUUUGAGACUACAAGACGGCAAGAAGGGCGAUUUCUUCACUCUUUUACCAGUUCAUGUAUGUAUUGAUUCCUCUAAUGAUUAUGUUAUUUGUAAACACCAUUAUGAGUAGCUAAAUCCAUUAGAGGUUAGGUCUGAGAUGAUUCUUUGUAACCCUAAUUGAAACAUGUUGCUGUGAAACUCUAUUAUUUGUG
rnacentral:lncRNA from 1 species